CACGUAGGGUGCAAGCGUUGUCCGGAAUCAUUGGGCGUAAAGAGCUCGUAGGCGGCUUAGUAAGUCGGGUGUGAAAACCCCAGGCUCAACCUGGGGACGCCACCCGAUACUGCUAUAGCUAGAGUCCAGUAGGGGAGUGUGGAAUUCCCAGUGUAGCGGUGAAAUGCGCAGAUAUUGGGAGGAACACCAGCGGCGAAGGCGGCACUCUGGGCUGGUACUGACGCUGAGGAGCGAAAGCGUGGGGAGCGAACAGG
rnacentral:rRNA from 1 species